CCCUACGGGGGGCAGCAGUGGGGGAUAUUGCACAAUGGGGGGAACCCUGAUGCAGCGACGCCGCGUGGGUGAAGAAGCGCCUCGGCGCGUAAAGCCCUGUCAGCAGGGAAGAAAAUGAUGGUACCUGAAGAAGAAGCCCCGGCUAACUACGUGCCAGCAGCCGCGGUAAUACGUAGGGGGCAAGCGUUAUCCGGAUUUACUGGGUGUAAAGGGGGCGCAGACGGCGAUGCAAGCCAGGAGUGAAAGCCCGGGGCCCAACCCCGGGACUGCUCUUGGAACUGCGUGGCUGGAGUGCAGGAGGGGCG
rnacentral:rRNA from 1 species